rnacentral:rRNA from 1 species
UAAUACGUAGGAUGCAAGCGUUGUCCGGAAUUAUUGGGCGUAAAGAGUUUGUAGGCGGUUGCUUAAGUCUGUCGUUAAAGGUCGGAGCUCAACUCCGGUAUGGCGAUGGAAACUGGGCGGCUAGAGUGUGCUAGAGGUAACUGGAAUUCCAGGUGUAGCGGUGAAAUGCGUAGAUAUCUGGAGGAACACCAGUGGCGAAAGCGGGUUACUGGAGCAUUACUGACGCUGAAGAACGAAAGCCAGGGUAGCAAAAGGG